rnacentral:lncRNA from 1 species
UCUCCUCUUGCAAGCAAGCUAUGAGCUGUUCCAUAUCUGCCACCUUCUCACCUAUUCACGAGCUUAUUUAAAGUCUUCAAUAUAUUAUAAAUAACCAUAUAUCGAUCUUUGUAUACAAUUAAUUAAAAGAUCCAAAAAAACCAAGAUUUUAAUUACUUGACUUCUAGAUGUCGUCUACUACUACACUACAUGUCUACAUUGUACUAUACUUUUACCUUCUCCUCUUCUUGUUUCCUAUAGAAGAAGCAAUGGCCGGCCGGUCAAUCGCCGGACGGCGAGUUAUACCGUCAAGUGGUCCUAGCACAAUGAUACCAAUAUUGGCCUCAGAAGCCCCGGAAUCUGCAACAAUGAAGAUGAAGCCGCGAUUGAAUAAGGAAGGAAAGAUUUUUCAUGGGAAGGAAGUGAAGGCAUGCAUGCCUAAGGGUCGUCGCCGUUCGUCAGCUCCGAGCCGAUUCGUAAACUUUCACACAUUUGAUGAUUUAUUGGGUUGUGAAACUGUCCGCAGACAAUUCAGGAAUCCUUGAUUGAUGACUUGUUCAGGGUUAUCACGAACUGUAUUUAUAUAUUCUGCUUAAUUAAUUUACACAUACCAGUUAACUAUAUAUAUAUCGUUCUGUGUAAGACGAGAACUAAUAUAUUUUGUACAUUUUACGCGUACUCAAUUUCGUUUCGUGUACUUAAUUUAUAAGCUAGCGUUCCUGAUAACUCUGGUUCAGAUCGAAGCAUAAAUAUAGAUAUUGAUUAAAUUGAAUUGAUGAUAAUAUUGUACAUGUUCGUAAUUAAGCAGUUUGAGGGUGAGCAAAAUUAUGAAAGAAUUUUAUUAGUUAUAGUUUCUUUAUAAAAUAUAGUUUUGUAUUGGUGACUUGCAAUAUUAAUUGAACUUACUGUAUUAUUAUUUUUU